UACGAAGGGGGCUAGCGUUGCUCGGAAUUACUGGGCGUAAAGGGAGCGUAGGCGGACAUUUAAGUCAGGGGUGAAAUCCCGGGGCUCAACCUCGGAAUUGCCUUUGAUACUGGGUGUCUUGAGUAUGAGAGAGGUGUGUGGAACUCCGAGUGUAGAGGUGAAAUUCGUAGAUAUUCGGAAGAACACCAGUGGCGAAGGCGACACACUGGCUCAUUACUGACGCUGAGGCUCGAAAGCGUGGGGAGCAAACAGGAUUAGAUACCCCUGUAGUCC
rnacentral:rRNA from 1 species